CUACGGGUCGCAGCAGUGGGGAAUAUUGCACAAUGGGCGCAAGCCUGAUGCAGCCAUGCCGCGUGUAUGAAGAAGGCCUUCGGGUUGUAAAGUACUUUCAGCGGGGAGGAAGGGAGUAAAGUUAAUACCUUUGCUCAUUGACGUUACCCGCAGAAGAAGCACCGGCUAACUCCGUGCCAGCAGCCGCGGUAAUACGGAGGUGCAAGCGUUAAUCGGAAUUACUGGGCGUAAAGCGCACGCAGGCGGGUUGUUAAGUCAGAUGUGAAAUCCCCGGGCUCAACCUGGGAACUGCAUCUGAUACUGGCAAGCUUGAGUCUCGUAGAGGGGGGUAGAAUUCCAGGUGUAGCGGUGAAAUGCGUAGAGAUCUGGAGGAAUACCGGUGGCGAAGGCGGCCCCCUGGACGAAGACUGACGCUCAGGUGCGAAAGCGUGGGGAGCAAACAGGAUUAGAUACCCUGGUAGUC
rnacentral:rRNA from 1 species